rnacentral:rRNA from 1 species
AACGACUCUCGGCAACGGAUAUCUCGGCUCACGCAUCGAUGAAGAACGUAGCAAAAUGCGAUACUUGGUGUGAAUUGCAGAAUCCCGUGAACCAUCGAGUUUUUGAACGCAAGUUGCGCCCGAAGCCUUCUGGCCGAGGGCACGUCUGCCUGGGCGUCACGCAU